GCCUGGCUAGCUCAUUCAGUAGAGCAUGUGACUCUUGAUCUUGGGGUGGAGAGUUCAAGCCCUACGUUAGGCA
rnacentral:tRNA from 1 species